GAAGCGGGAAAAGCUCAAGUUUGAAAUCUGGAGACGUCUCGCCUCCAGAGUUGUAAGCUGAUGAGGCAUCGACCGACGUGUCCCGGGCUCAAUUCCCUUGGAACAGGGAGUCAUGGAGGGUGAGAACCCCGUCUGUGGCCUGGGUACCAUCGUCCUAGUGUUGUGUCCUCGAAGAGUCGGGUUGUUUGGGAACGCAGCUCAAAAUGGGUGGUAAAUUUCAUCUAAAGCUAAAUACUGGCGAGAGACCGAUAGCAAACAAGUAGAGUGAUCGAAAGAUGAAAAGUACUUUGAAAAGAGAGUGAAACAGUACGUGAAAUUGUUGAAAGGGAAGCGUUUGGCAUCAGCCCAUGGCGUCCGUCCACCAUCCAGGCUUCUGCCUGUUGCACUGGUCGGGCGUUGGGCCAGCGUCGACUUUGUCCGCCGGAGAAAGGCCUAGGGGAUGUGGCUCCCUUUGGGGAGCGUUAUAACCCUAGGCGUCAUGCGGUGUGAUGGGGUCGAGGUCCGCGGUUAGUCCUAGGACGCUGGCGUAAUGGUUCCAAGCGACCCGUCUUGAAACACGGACCAAGGAGUCUAACAUCUAUGCGAGUGUUUGGGUGUCAAGCCCGUCCGCGCAAUGA
rnacentral:rRNA from 1 species